rnacentral:lncRNA from 1 species
UAAGUUUUGGGGGAAAGUGUGUUCCCAAACACAUAUCCUGCUCUCUUGCUCCUCUUUCUAUGGCAAAGGAGGAGAAAUUUCUUCCAGAGACAUAAGCAGGAGGAAGCUGGAGCUCUCUCCUGAGUGAUUGUCAGUUGCAGAGGAGGUGAAUAUCACAGGACAAGCAAGCGUGGGGGAGAAGACUGCCUAAACAUUCUAAAGGAUGAUCUUUCUGAAGCAAAUCGGAUCAUGUCAAGUUUGCUGAAAAAGCACUCAAGCACCCCGACUCGUGGCCUAAGGAUCAAGCUUCUCAUCUGGCUCAGAAUAUCUUCCCAGCCUCAUCUCACAUUACCUGUGCUCCUUCCUCCCCUUUGCACAGUUCUCCAUCCACACAGAAAUAUUUCCCAUGCCCCAAACAACAGCCUGGCUCCCUUUCCUACUUUUGCACCUGAUUUUUCCCUCGAUCUGGUUUUCCUCUCAUGCCCUGCCUGCGAACCCUGUCUGCAAAAUAGCAUUAUGCACAAGGGGACCCACUGCCCUGCCUCGCUCAUCCUUCCUAGCAGCACUUAAGGCCCCCUCCCUGCAAA